ensembl:lncRNA
CCCUUGCUGUGCCACCGACGUGGUCACGCACUCACCGGUGUUGCAGCGGCAACCCCGGUGAGUGCGUGACCACGUCGGUGGCACUCGUGAGUUCGUUGACCACAUCGGUGGUUCAACGCGAAAGCACUCAGGUCACGCAGCGACCCCGGAGAGUGAAUCGACCACGGCAGUUGGUACAGCACGAAAGCACUCGUGGCUCGCUGCGUAACAGCUGCAGAGUGCUCUAAAUUUUAAUUGAUCUCGCUGAGGUAUUUUAAGUCGACUGCUUUUACGUGAUUCAUCGAUCUCGCUGACGGUUUUAAGCUUAUCGUUUUACGGUAUGUAUGAUUGACUCUUAAUAUGUUGUAUAUUGGGUAUGCCUUUUAUCUUCCAGAAGCAGUAUAGAUCCUUGUCCACUUCUUCUACGCGGAUCUUCGUUCGACGCACCUCCAUCCACCCCACCACCACCAGGUCGGCCUCAGUCUACU